rnacentral:rRNA from 1 species
GAGUGGCGAACGGGUGAGUAACACAUCGGAACGUACCCUAUCGUGGGGGAUAACCAGUCGAAAGAUUGGCUAAUACCGCAUGACGAGACAGCAAAGCAGGGGACCGGAAAGCGCGAUUGGAGCGGCCGAUGUCCGAUUAGCUAGUUGGUGGGGUAAAGGCUCACCAAGGCUUCGAUCGGUAGCUGGUCUGAGAGGAUGAUCAGCCACACUGGGACUGAGACACGGCCCAGACUCCUACGGGAGGCAGCAGUGGGGAAUUUUGGACAAUGGGGGCAACCCUGAUCCAGCCAUGCCGCGUGAGUGAAGAAGGCCUUCGGGUUGUAAAGCUCUUUCGGUGGGAACGAAACGGUGGAUGUUAAUACCAUCCACUACUGACGGUACUCAUAGAAGAAGCACCGGCUAACUACGUGCCAGCAGCCGCGGUAAUACGUAGGGUGCGAGCGUUAAUCGGAAUUACUGGGCGUAAAGCGUGCGCAGGCGGUCUCGUAAGCUGGGUGUGAAAGCCCCGGGCUUAACCUGGGAAUGGCAUUCAGGACUGCGAGGCUCGAGUGUGGCAGAGGGAGGUGGAAUUCCACGUGUAGCAGUGAAAUGCGUAGAGAUGUGGAGGAACACCGAUGGCGAAGGCAGCCUCCUGGGCCAGCAC